GCUAAAUUUGAAACAAUCGAUUUCAUAUCUUGAAUUGCUUUGUCAAAUUCAUCGGAAGGAAUCCGAGAAACUGCACUUUCAUCGACAAAAGCAACGCCAACACCAAAUACAGCUGUCUCAUUGGUACAACCGCUGCAUGUAUACUUGAUGAUGAACGAAGUUGAGAAGAGAAAAAGACCUGGAAGAAGGACCGCCGGAGAAGGCGACAAGAACGUUAUCCGUUGGGGAAAUCAUAGCGUUGGAGGUGACGGCGAGUUUGAACUUGCCGAAUAGAUUGCCGCGGAAGCAAUCGAAGCAAAAUCGGCCAAUGUCCCCGUCGACCGAGACUGUGCCGGAGGAGGCGAGGGUCUCGUUCACCUUGCACUUGAGGCAGAGAUUAUGGUGAUUGGGAAGGUCGAUAUCGCUGCCACUUGAAAGAGUCCGAUUGGUUAACUUCUUCUUCUCCGUCACGACCGAGUCGUCGUCGUCCCGGAAGCAACCGGACUGACAAUUUCCGGCGCCGCAGGCCAUGGCGAUCGCCUAUCGACUUCGCACUUUUAGGGUUUCUUGGUUCCGGUCCAGUGAAGCGUGUAGGGUUUUGGCGUUGGUGCUAUUUAGGACGUGUUUGGAAAGUCCGUUACCGUAACCGCCUCAUGGACUAUUCUUUUUCCUGAACCAGUUUAGGGUUUUCUCUGGGCACAACUUUGGAGUCGAAAGGUUCAAGUGUAGUGGAGAAAAAUAUAGUUGUUUAUUUUAAGCUUUUAAACGAAAAUAAUUGCAUAUAUGGUUUCAAUUAUAGUGUGAGAAUGAAGCAAAUUUUGCUCUA